UGAUGACGAGACGCUAAGGCGUUGAAGCAGUGUAUGUCAGACUUCCAAGAAAAGCUCGCAAUGUCACAAAUAAAAGAUGCCUGUACCAUAACCGACACAGGUGGGUAGGUAGAGUAUACUAAGGGGCGCGAGAUAACUCUCUCUAAGGAACUCGGCAAAAUGACUCCGUAACUUCGGGAGAAGGAGUGCCUUAUUUAUAAGGUUGCAAUAACAAGAUCCAAGCAACUGUUUAUCAAAAACACAGGUCUCCGCUAAGUCGUAAGACGAUGUAUGGGGGCUGACGCCUGCCCAGUGCCAGAAGGUUAAAGAAGUUGGUUAGUGUAUGCGAAGCUGAUGACUGAAGCCCUGGUGAACGGCGGCCGUAACGAUAACGGUCCUAAGGUAGCGAAAUUCCUUGUCGGGUAAGUUCCGACCCGCACGAAAGGCGUAAUGAUUUGGAUACUGUCUCGGAGAGAGGCUCGGUGAAAUAGACUUGUCUGUGAAGAUGCGGACUACCUGCACCAGGACAGAAAGACCCUAUGAAGCUUUACUGUAACUUGAAAUUGGAAUUGGACUUUGCUUGCGCAGUAUAGGUGGGAAGCGUUGAAAAUAUUCUUGCGGGAGUAUUGGAGCUAUCAGUGAGAUACCACUCUUGUAAUGUUAGAUUUCUAACUUUGAACCAUAAUCUGGUCAAAGAACAGUUUCAGGUGGGCAGUUUGACUGGGGCGGUCGCCUCCCAAAUGGUAACGGAGGCGUACAAAGGUUUCCUCUGAACGGAUAGAAAUCGUAUCUAGAGUGUAAAGGCAUAAGGAAGCUUGACUGUGAGACCUACAAGUCGAGCAGGGACGAAAGUCGGUCUUAGUGAUCUGACGGUACUGAGUGGAAAGGCCGUCACUCAACGGAUAAAAGUUACUCUAAGGAUAACAGGCUGAUCUCCCCCAAGAGUUCACAUCGACGGGGAGGUUUGGCACCUCGAUGUCGGCUCAUCGCAUCCUGGGGCGGUAGUACGUCCCAAGGGUUGGGCUGUUCGCCCAUGAAAGCGGUACGCGAGCUGGGUUCAGAACGUCGUGAGACAGUUCGGUCCAUAUCCGGUGUAGGCGCUAGAAUAUUGAGAGGAGCCUUCUUUAGUACGAGAGGACCGAGAAGGACACACCGCUGGUGUACCAGUUAUCGUGCCAACGGUAAACGCUGGGUAGCUAUGUGUGGAGUGGAUAACCGCUGAAAGCAUCUAAGUGGGAAGCCCACCUCGAGAUGAGUAUUCUCA
rnacentral:rRNA from 1 species